GAUGCUACAUGUAGUUUAUUCGUACCACACAACUUACAAAAUUAUUGGUGACCAUAUAUCCUUUGUCCCCAAUUGGUGAUUUUUCUAAAAUAAUGCAAGUGGCGAGGACCAAGAGAUUUGAUAGCUAAAAACAAAUGGGCCGAAAGAAACAUUUAUUUUCCAUAUACAGUAAAUGCUUUUUUUUGAGAAAAACCGGGAACCAAUUGGUCACCGGUUCAGCAUCUAAGUACGGGUCGUAAAAUUCAAACAUAAACCGAACCGAAUCGAUCGAUACGCCGCGUUUUGGAUUCGUCGGCGAACACAAACAAAGCUUCAACGGCGACGUGUUUCACCGACCUCGAACCUCCACUCUCCGGAGAUAUAUUAUUAUUAUUGAGGCGCUUGAUCAAUCCAAUAUCGAUUUUUGCACUCCAGUUCAGGCCGCGACGAUUCCUUUACUCUGCACUUUGGCAAAUGUGAAACUCUCUGUUACUUGUUGGAAGCGGAGAGGUGAAAGCAGAUCGGUACACCUGGAAGGCUUUCAGAUAUAAUGGAACGAAUAGAUUUUCGAAAUCAACGAGCAGAGGAGCACAAACAGAGCUGGGGCUUAGGAACCCUGUGCGAGUUAAAGUUCGAGCUGAGUCCAAGUCCGAAUCAUCCCAGCAAUUGACAAACUCGAAAACCCCUUUCUGGUCUUCAUCUUGAGUAUAUGGAGUGCGAAGCAGAUAAGAUAUCAUCACAACUAGUGGAUCUCCUCAUCAAGAACAGUAAUAAAAAAGCUUAUAGUAUUCUCUUCAUGUCCUGUGCUUCUGUUGAUUACUGGCUGACUUUGAUGCUAUUCCCAUGUUAUCUAAGACGUAUCUGCUCCUACUUUCAAAAAUUCCUACUCUCAAGUCCAUAUUGUUACUAGAGGUUUUGAUGAAAUAUACUUUACACAUCAGAAUGCAAGAGGCAAGGCAUUCAUUAGCUUCUGUGCACAGACUUGAUAUUCCAGGCAUUGAUUAUGUAGUUCAUCUAGAUUCAGUAAUGUUUGUUUCCAUAUUGUUUUGCCAUCUUUGUUGCUAUGUUUAUGAUUCAGAGGUUCGAUCAUGUUCAUGCAGUAUGAUCCCACCACAAGACCAAAAUAUGUUCAACCACAGGGCCGGCAGAACUGCAAGGCUGGGAAGACAAAGGAGGGCCAUUGUGUUUUUACUGUCCCAUGUUUAGCCUUGAGCACUUCAUGUUCUCUUGUGCCCCCACGUUCUCCAUAGUUACAUCACAGAGCAUGAAAAGCUUAAAAGUUCACUUGCAUAUGUGCGUAGGAGGAAGCCUAUGUAGAGUUUAUCCGCAUAAGAAGAGUCCCUCUGGAAGAGAGACAAAAUGAUCUGAGGACGCAUCCGAUGUCAUCCCGAUUGUAAUAAAACCUCCAUCUGUCUGUCUCUCUCUGUUGGUCACAACGCUUACUAAUAUCUACAAGACUACAACAAUGUGUUCAGAUACGUUCAGCUGCCUUGAAGGACCGAGCCAGUGUUGGCGGGAUUAAAGGAAUUUGUUUCCUUUGUCCGUGCUUAUAAAGAGCAACACUGCUCUUUCAUUUUCAGGUUCAUUCAUGAGGCUCAGUCAUUUUUUUUUCUGUUUCUACAAAUUCUGUAUCCCUCUUAUCAGUUUUGUGGUGGAAUGAACUUGUAAUCGGAAAGCUAGCCUUGGAAUAUGGCCUCCUUGUAUCUUUCGAGCGAGUGUUACACACCCGUUGAAGGUGUCAAGUUUGAAGACAUAGAAUUCAAGUAGUUUUUCUUUUUACAAAACCCCUAAACACUAAUGAUGAUAUUAUUCUAUA